rnacentral:rRNA from 1 species
CCUACGGGAGGCAGCAGUGGGGAAUUUUGGACAAUGGGCGCAAGCCUGAUCCAGCAAUGCCGCGUGCAGGAUGAAGGCCUUCGGGUUGUAAACUGCUUUUGUACGGAACGAAACGGCGAGCUCUAAUAAAGCUCGCUAAUGACGGUACCGUAAGAAUAAGCACCGGCUAACUACGUGCCAGCAGCCGCGGUAAUACGUAGGGUGCAAGCGUUAAUCGGAAUUACUGGGCGUAAAGCGUGCGCAGGCGGUGAUGUAAGACAGAUGUGAAAUCCCCGGGCUCAACCUGGGACCUGCAUUUGUGACUGCAUCGCUAGAGUACGGUAGAGGGGGAUGGAAUUCCGCGUGUAGCAGUGAAAUGCGUAGAUAUGCGGAGGAACACCGAUGGCGAAGGCAAUCCCCUGGGCCUGUACUGACGCUCAUGCACGAAAGCGUGGGGAGCAAACAGGAUUAGAUACCCUGGUAGUCCACGCCCUAAACGAUGUCAACUGGUUGUUGGGUCUUCACUGACUCAGUAACGAAGCUAACGCGUGAAGUUGACCGCCUGGGGAGUACGGCCGCAAGGUUGAAACUUAAAGGAAAUUGACGG